AGUGGGUUACUUGGGGAAAAAAUUGAGCACAGAGAAAAACGAAGGAAAAAAAUUCAGCUGGUAGUCAAAACUCAAAAUUUUCUUAGCCCUAAUGGAAUCCAAGGGAGAUGAAGCCUCCCAUCAACACCCAAAACAAAGCAAACCCACAAACCAUUCUCCAUUUCCAUCAACUUCAAUCCAAGAAUCUGCCUUAACAAUUUCUAUUCUGCCCCAAGAACUCAUCACUGACAUACUCUUAAAGCUACCAGUGAAACCCCUCUUGAAAUUCAGGUGUGUUUCAAAAUCUUGGCUUGCUUUAAUCUCUAGCCCUCAAUUUGUCAAGACCCAUCUCAGUAUAUGUGCUAAUGACAAGGACUACACCAACCAUAGGGUUGUUUUGAAAGUAAAUUCACCUGAGUUCAAUCUCAAGGACUGUUCCCUUAACUCUUUGCUUUAUGACCCUGUUACCGAGGCAUUUGACUUGGGUUAUCCUAUGAAAAAUCCCCGAAAACCCCUUAGAUCUAUUAGGAUUGUUGGUUCUGUCAAUGGGUUGAUUUGUCUUGUCAUCGGGGUAAAUGACUUCUUUCUGUGGAAUCCAUCUAUUAGGAAGUUCAAGAAAUUGCCUGAUCCUACAGAUGGUUUCUAUAUCAUGUAUGGUUUUGGAUAUGAUGAGUUUCAUGAUGAUUAUAAGGUAGUGGCUAUUUGCAAUAAUCUGAGAUAUAACGGUUCACAUCAUGUUGAGGUCAAAAUAUAUAGUCUAAAAAGUGAUUCUUGGACAAGUACCUAUGAGUGUUGGAGUGGUGGGGUGCUAUCCACUAGGUGGGGUACUCUUGUGAAUGGAAAGCUUCAUUGGACUACAACAACUACUACUACUCGUGUUGGUGUGAAUAAUCCUAAGGACAUCAUUUGUAUUGAUUUGGCUGAUAAGAAAUGGGGAAAGGUGGAGCAACCUUGCUAUGGAGAAGGAGAUUUUAAUUGUACGUUGUCCUUGGGAGUGUUGGGAGGUGAUCUUGCUUUGUUUUAUGAUUAUCUGAGAACUCACGCAGAUGUGUGGGUUAUGAAGGAGUAUGGGGUUAAAGAAUCUUGGACAAAGAUGCUUACAAUCAAUUAUCCCAAUGAUCCUACGGCGUAUCUGUUUCUUCAUACCUUUUGUAUGUCAAAUAAAGGAGAAAUUUUGUUUGAGUUUGGAUCAUCUUUCGUGGUUUACAAUCUAAAUGAUAACUCGAUCAGAAAUCCAGAGAUUACCAACUGUAAUUUCAUUAGGCAGGCAAUCAUCUAUAUUGAAAGCCUAGUUUGGCCUUUACUGGAUAAGGAACCAAUAAUUCAACAGCAAUGAAGACUGGAAAAGGUUCAGAUACAAGAUGUUACCAAAAUUGAAACAGAGCAACGGCUUAUUCAAAUGGUUGAAACUGAAUUGGAGCAGAGGAAGCAAAGCUGUGCAUAUAAAGGUUGGCAACUUGGCUGCCCCAGUUGAAGAAUGGACGGUUCUAUGCCAGAAAGGGGUGUUGUCAAUGUAUUUAAUCUAUACUGUGGUUUCAGGUUCUUAAUCAAUUAAUGAAUGAGUUGAAAAGAUUGCACCCUCUGAAGCUAUUGCUUGAGUCUGGUCUUUCCAAAGUAUUUAUUCUAAAUUCUUGUUUUUCAUCCAAACUUCUUUCAGUGUAAUUGUAGCUUUUCUGAUUGAUUAUUUAAAUUUUCAUUUUUAUUAGCUUAUGAUUGGUGUGACGAAUAAUACUUAUAAAUGACUUCUACAAUA